UGACCACCAAAAUUCAGAUCAACAUCAUCAGAAGAACCUCGACAUCAGACAAGAGAAAGAGAGAGAGAAAUAGAAUGUCAUCAUGUGCAGAAAGCAGACGUGAUUCUCUCACAGAUCCUGGAUCAGCUCAAAAUAACAGUCAUGAUGAAC